AACGCUGGCGGCAGGCUCACGCUUAACAGUCGAACGAGAAGCCCCUUCGGGGGUUGACAGUGGCAGACGGGUACGCGUGGGAAUCUACCCUAGGGUCUGGGACAACUACUGGAAACGGUGGCUAAUACCGGAUACGCUCGCAAGAGGAAAGAUUUAUUGCCCUUGUGAUGAGCCCGCGUAAGAUUAGCUUGUUGGUGAGGUAACGGCUCACCAAGGCCUACGAAUCUUUAGACUGGCUCUGAGAAGGAUGAUCAGCCACUAUUGGAGACUGAAGACACGUGCCCAGGACUCCCUACGGAGAGGCAGCAGUGGGGAAUAUUGCGCAAUGGGGGAAACCUGACGCGCCAUGCCGAGAUGAAUGACAAAAGCCUAAGGUAGUACAAUACUAUCA
rnacentral:rRNA from 1 species